rnacentral:rRNA from 1 species
GAUGAACGCUGGCGGCGUGCCUAAUACAUGCAAGUCGAGCGAACGGACGAGAAGCUUGCUUCUCUGAUGUUAGCGGCGGACGGGUGAGUAACACGUGGAUAACCUACCUAUAAGACUUGGAUAACUUCGGGAAACCGGAACUAAUACCGGAUGAUAUUUUUAACCUCAUGGUUCAAAAGUGAAAGACGGUCUUGCUGUCACUUAUAGAUGUAUCCUCGCUGCAUUAGCUAGUUGGUACGGUAACGGCUUACCAAGGCAACGAUGCAUAGCCGACCUGAGAGGGUGAUCGGCCACACUGGAACUGAGACACGGUACAGAAUCCUACGGGAGGCAGAAGUAGGGAAGCUUCCGCAAUGGGCGAAAGCCUGACGGAGCAACGCAGCGUGAGUGAUGAAGGUCUUCGGAUCGUAAAACUCUGUUAUUAGGGAAGAACAUAUGUGUAAGUAACUGUGCACAUCUUGACGGUACCUAAUCAGAAAGCCACGGCUAACUACGUG